CGAAGUAAACUGCUCGUACCGCAAUCCGACACAGGUAGUCGAGGAGAGUAUCCUCAGGCGCUCGAACGAUUCAUGGCUAAGGAACUAGGCAAACUAGACGCGUAACUUCGGGAGAAGCGUCCCUCUUAGUAAUAAGAGGCGCAGUGAAACGGCCCAGGCGACUGUUUAGCAAAAACACAGGACUAUGCUAAUUCGAAAGAAGACGUAUAUGGUCUGACACCUGCCCGGUGCUGGAAGGUUAAGGAAGGGGGUUAGCGCAAGCGAAGCUCUUGACUGAAGCCCCAGUAAACGGCGGCCGUAACUAUAACGGUCCUAAGGUAGCGAAAUUCCUUGUCGGGUAAGUUCCGACCUGCACGAAUGGUGUAACGAUCUGGGCUCUGUCUCAGCCAUGAUUUCGGUGAAAUUGAAGUAUCGGUGAAGAUGCCGGUUACCCGCAACGGGACGAAAAGACCCCGUGCACCUUUACUAUAGCUUCACAUUGGUCUUGAGUCUAAAAUGUGUAGGAUAGCUGGGAGACUUUGAAGCCGCCACGCCAGUGGUGGUGGAGUCGUCCUUGAAAUACCAGCCUUUUUAUAUUUAGGUUCUAAUCCCUAAAGGGAGACAGUGUGUGGUGGGUAGUUUGACUGGGGUGGUCGCCUCCAAAAGAGUAACGGAGGCUCGCAAAGGUGCCCUCAGUACCGUUGGUAAUGGUACGAAGAGCGUAUGAGUAUAAGGGUGCUUGACUGAGAGAACGACGGUUCGACCAGGUGCGAAAGCAGGCUCAAGUGAUCCGGUAACUCCACAUGGGUGGGUUAUCGCUCAUAGGAUAAAAGGUACGCCGGGGAUAACAGGCUGAUCUCCCCCAAGAGCUCGUAUCGACGGGGAGGUUUGGCACCUCGAUGUCGGUUCGUCACAUCCUGGGGCUGGAGAAGGUCCCAAGGGUUGGGCUGUUCGCCCAUUAAAGUGGCACGUGAACUGGGUUCAGAACGUCGCAAGACAGUUCGGUCUCUAUCUGUUGCGGGCGCGGGAAUAUUGAGAAGAUCUGACACUAGUACGAGAGGACCGUGUUGGACGUACCGCUAGUGUACCAGUUGUGGCGCCAGCUGCACCGCUGGGUAGCUAUGUACGGAACGGAUAAGCGCUGAAAGCAUCUAAGCACGAAGCCGUCUUCAAGAUGAGUAUUCCAUUCUCCCUUGCGGAGAUGAAGGGUCGUAGGAGACUACUACGUUGAUAGGCUAUAGGUGGAAGUGCAGUGAUGUAUGGAGCCGAGUAGUACUAAUAACCC
rnacentral:rRNA from 1 species